AUUGAACGCUGGCGGCAGGCCUAACACAUGCAAGUCGAGCAAGCGGCGGACGGGUGAGUAUAGUCUGGGAAACUGCGUGAGGGAGGGGGAUAACUACAGGAAACGAGAGCUAAAACCGCAUACCAUCAGAGGUGUCCAGAUGGGAUUAGCGAGUAGGGGGGGUAAUGGCUAACCUAGGCGACUAUCCCUAGCUGGUCUGUGAGGAUGACCAGCCACACUGGAACUGAGACACGGUCCAGACUCCUACGGGAGGCAGCAGUGGGUAAUAUUGCACAAUGGGCGCAAGCCUGAUGCAGCCAUGCCGCGUGUGUGAAGAAGGCCUUCGGGUUGUAAAGCACUUUCAGCGGGGAGGCGUUACCCGCAGAAGAAGCACCGGCUAACUCCGUGCCAGCCGCCGCGGUAAUUC
rnacentral:rRNA from 1 species